GGAUACAUAGCUCAGAUGGUAGAGCAGUACGCUGUUAACGUAUAGGUCGGAGGUUCGAAUCCUCCUGUUUCCG
rnacentral:tRNA from 1 species